UGCUGAUUGUUCUCAAAUACAACAGGGUGCAAGUUGUUACAGUCCUGUUACUUUGCAGAACCAUGCUUCUUUUGCCUUCAACAGUUACUAUCAAAAGAAGCCAGCUCCAACAAGUUGCGACUUUGGAGGCGCUGCUAUGUUAGUUAGCUCAAAUCCAAGUAAGAUUUAAACAUUUAAAUAACCCUUGUUUUUUCUUUCUUUCAAUCUCAUGCUUCAAAAUAUUGAUGAUCAUUUUUUAUAGGUUCUGGUUCUUGCAUUUAUCCGUCAUCAUCUUCGUCGUCAUCGUCAACCUCAACUUCACCAAUGAUAUCAUCUCCAGCACCACCUACACAAUCAACUUCAACUUCAAUACCACCACCAAGUCUAACAACACCUUCACCAUCUAUUCCAACAAUAGCUCCACCAACAAUGUCAACAGCUCCAUCAUCAAUUCCAACAGCUCCACCAAC
rnacentral:lncRNA from 1 species